rnacentral:ncRNA from 1 species
GUUUUAUUAAUUAGUUUUGGUCUUGGGAACACUGUGUAAAUCAGUGACUGUGCCGCAACGGUGAUUUGACAAGUUUACUCUGAGCGAGUGAAACGAGUCGAAGAGUCCGAUACCAGCCAAAGCGUGUUUACCCCGA